UACCAAGGCGACGAUGGGUAGCCGGCCUGAGAGGGUGAUCGGCCACACUGGGACUGAGAUACGGCCCAGACGCCUACGGGAGGCAGCAGCUAAGAAUCCUCCGCAAUGGACGAAAGUCUGACGGAGCGACGCCGCGUGGGUGAAGAAGGCCGGAAGGUUGUAAAGCCCUUUUCUCGUUGAGGAAUAAGCACAGGAGGGAAUGCCUGUGCGAUGACGGUAGGCGAGGAAUAAGUCCCGGCCAAUUACGUGCCAGCAGCCGCGGUAACACGUAUGGGACGAGCGUUGUUCGGAAUCAUUGGGCGUAAAGGGCGCGUAGGCGGCGAGGUAAGCCUGGUGUGAAAGACCGCAGCUUAACUGCGGAACCGCGCUAGGAACUGCUUUGCUUGAGUUCAGGAGGGGGAGCUGGAAUUCCAGGUGUAGGGGUGAAAUCUGUAGAUAUCUGGAAGAACACCGGCGGCGAAGGCGAGCUCCUGGCCAUGAACUGACGCUGAGGCGCGAAAGCGUGGGGAGCGAACAGGAUUAGAUACCCUGGUAGUCCACGCUGUAAACGAUGUGCACUAGGUGUUGGGCCACGAAGGUUCAGUGCCGGAGUCAACGCGUUAAGUGCACCGCCUGGGGAGUAUGCUCGCGAGGGUGAAACUCAAAGGAAUUGACGGGGGCCCGCACAAGCGGUGGAGCAUGUGGUUUAAUUCGAUGAUACGCGAGGAACCUUACCAGGGUUUGACAUAUGCCGGAAUGUGCAGGAGACUGCGCAGCCCUUCGGGGCCGGUAUACAGGUGCUGCAUGGCCGUCGUCAGCUCGUGCCGUGAGGUGUUGGGUUAAGUCCCGCAACGAGCGCAACCCCUACCGUCUGUUGCCAGCAUUCAGUUGGGGACUCAGGCGGAACUGCCGGUGACAAACCGGAGCAAGGUGGGGACGACGUCAGGUCAUCAUGGCCCUUAUAUCCUGGGCUACACACGUGCUACAAUGGCCGGUACAGAGCGAAGCAACACCGCGAGGUAG
rnacentral:rRNA from 1 species